rnacentral:rRNA from 1 species
GGGUCCAUCCCGGAUUACCAAUAUCAGAUAAACUCCGAAUGCCAAUGAGAUAUAAUCGGCAGUCAGACUGCGAGUGCUAAGAUCCGUAGUCGAAAGGGAAACAGCCCAGACCACCAGCUAAGGUCCCAAAAUAUAUGUUAAGUGGAAAAGGAUGUGGGGUUGCACAGACAACUAGGAUGUUAGCUUAGAAGCAGCUAUUCAUUCAAAGAGUGCGUAAUAGCUCACUAGUCGAGUGACCCUGCGCCGAAAAUGUACCGGGGCUAAAACAUAUUACCGAAGCUGUGGAUACCUUUUAGGUAUGGUAGGAGAGCGUUCUAUGUGUGAAGAAGGUGUACCGUGAGGAGCGCUGGAACGCAUAGAAGUGAGAAUGCCGGUAUGAGUAGCGAAAGACAGGUGAGAAUCCUGUCCACCGUAUGACUAAGGUUUCCAGGGGAAGGCUCGUCCUCCCUGGGUUAGUCGGGACCUAAGGAGAGACCGAAAGGUGUAUCCGAUGGACAACAGGUUGAUAUUCCUGUACUAGAGUAUAUAGUGAUGGAGGGACGCAGUAGGCUAACUAAAGCGUGCGAUUGGAAGUGCACGUCUAAGCAGUGAGGUGUGAUAUGAGUCAAAUGCUUAUAUCUCUAACAUUGAGCUGUGAUGGGGAGCGAAGUUAAGUAGCGAAGUUAGUGAUGUCACACUGCCAAGAAAAGCUUCUAGCGUUAAUUAUACUCUACCCGUACCGCAAACCGACACAGGUAGUCGAGGCGAGUAGCCUCAGGUGAGCGAGAGAACUCUCGUUAAGGAACUCGGCAAAAUGGCCCCGUAACUUCGGGAGAAGGGGCGCUGGCUUUAAGUCAGCCGCAGUGAAUAGGCCCAAGCAACUGUUUAUCAAAAACACAGCUCUCUGCUAAAUCGUAAGAUGAUGUAUAGGGGGUGACGCCUGCCCGGUGCUGGAAGGUUAAGAGGAGCGCUUAGCAUUAGCGAAGGUGUGAAUUGAAGCCCCAGUAAACGGCGGCCGUAACUAUAACGGUCCUAAGGUAGCGAAAUUCCUUGUCGGGUAAGUUCCGACCCGCACGAAAGGCGUAAUGAUUUGGGCACUGUCUCAACGAGAGACUCGGUGAAAUUUUAGUACCUGUGAAGAUGCAGGUUACCCGCGACAGGACGGAAAGACCCCAUGGAGCUUUACUGCAGUUUGAUAUUGAGUAUCUGUACCACAUGUACAGGAUAGGUAGGAGCCUAUGAAAUCGGGACGCUAGUUUCGGUGGAGGCGUUGUUGGGAUACUACCCUUGUGUUAUGGCUACUCUAACCUAGAUAGGUUAUCCCUAUCGGAGACAGUGUCUGACGGGCAGUUUGACUGGGGCGGUCGCCUCCUAAAAGGUAACGGAGGCGCCCAAAGGUUCCCUCAGAAUGGUUGGAAAUCAUUCGCAGAGUGUAAAGGUAUAAGGGAGCUUGACUGCGAGAGCUACAACUCGAGCAGGGACGAAAGUCGGGCUUAGUGAUCCGGUGGUUCCGCAUGGAAGGGCCAUCGCUCAACGGAUAAAAGCUACCCUGGGGAUAACAGGCUUAUCUCCCCCAAGAGUUCACAUCGACGGGGAGGUUUGGCACCUCGAUGUCGGCUCGUCGCAUCCUGGGGCUGUAGUCGGUCCCAAGGGUUGGGCUGUUCGCCCAUUAAAGCGGCACGCGAGCUGGGUUCAGAACGUCGUGAGACAGUUCGGUCCCUAUCCGUCGCGGGCGUAGGAAAUUUGAGAGGAUCUGCUCCUAGUACGAGAGGACCAGAGUGGACUUACCGCUGGUGUACCAGUUGUCUUGCCAAAGGCAUCGCUGGGUAGCUAUGUAGGGAAGGGAUAAACGCUGAAAGCAUCUAAGUGUGAAGCCCACCUCAAGAUGAGAUUUCCCAUGAUUUUAUAUCAGUAAGAGCCCUGAGAGAUGAUCAGGUAGAUAGGUUAGAAGUGUAAGUGUGGUGACACAUGUAGCGGACUAAUACUAAUAGCUCGAGGACUUAUCCA